rnacentral:rRNA from 1 species
UACAGAGGUCUCAAGCGUUGUUCGGAUUCAUUGGGCGUAAAGGGUGCGUAGGUGGCGCGCUAAGUCGGGUGUGAAAUCUCGGAGCUUAACUCCGAAACUGCAUUCGAUACUGCCGUGCUUGAGGACUGGAGAGGAGACUGGAAUUUACGGUGUAGCGGUGAAAUGCGUAGAUAUCGUAAGGAAGACCAGUGGCGAAGGCGGGUCUCUGGACAGUUCCUGACGCUGAGGCACGAAGGUCAGGGGAGCAAACGGG